rnacentral:tRNA from 1 species
AAAACCCGUUGGUUUCGACCGUGAGGGUUCGAUUCCCUCUAUCCCCA